rnacentral:rRNA from 1 species
CUCAGGAUGAACGCUAGCGGCAGGCUUAACACAUGCAAGUCGAGGGGUAUAGUUCUUCGGAGCUAGAGACCGGCGCACGGGUGCGUAACGCGUAUGCAAUCUACCUUUUACAGAGGGAUAGCCCAGAGAAAUUUGGAUUAAUACCUCAUAGCAUAGCAGCUUCGCAUGAAGCCACUAUUAAAGUCACAACGGUAAAAGAUGAGCAUGCGUCCCAUUAGCUAGUUGGUAAGGUAACGGCUUACCAAGGCUACGAUGGGUAGGGGUCCUGAGAGGGAGAUCCCCCACACUGGUACUGAGACACGGACCAGACUCCUACGGGAGGCAGCAGUGAGGAAUAUUGGACAAUGGGCGCAAGCCUGAUCCAGCCAUGCCGCGUGCAGGAUGACGGUCCUAUGGAUUGUAAACUGCUUUUAUACGAGAAGAAACA